CCGGAGUUCCUCGGGCUGUCUCAGGACGAGGUGGAGUGCAGCGCGGACCACAUCGCACGCCCCAUCCUCAUCCUCAAGGAGACUCGGCGGCUGCCCUGGGC
ensembl:miRNA